UCGUUGGUGAUCACUGCUGCUUGGUUUUUUUCGACGUAGAGCUGGUUGUUUUAGCAAAGGGCCGUUUGGAACUUGGUCGUUUGGAAGGCAGUGUGGUUGUGGGGUGUUGGAGGUGGUUCGAUGGGAAUGGUUGGUGGGGAGUGAGGGCUGAAGCAGCAUGGGGGGUUGUUUGGUGAAGGAGGAACAUCAGGGGUGGUCAUUUGGG
rnacentral:lncRNA from 1 species